CCUACGGGUGGCAGCAGUGAGGAAUAUUGGUCAAUGGGCGGAAGCCUGAACCAGCCAAGUAGCGUGCAGGAUGACGGCCCUACGGGUUGUAAACUUCUUUUAUACGGGAAUAACGCGCCUUACGUGUAGGUCUUUGCAUGUACCGUAUGAAUAAGGACCGGCUAAUUCCGUGCCAGCAGCCGCGGUAAUACGGAAGGUCCGGGCGUUCUCCGGAUUUAUUGGGUUUAAAGGGAGCGUAGGCCGCAUGUCAUGCUUGCUGUGAAAUGUCCGGGCUCAACCCGGGCCGUGCAGCGCGAACUGGCGGGCUGGAGUCCGCGGAAAGCAGGAGGAAUUCGUGGUGUAGCGGUGAAAUGCUUAGAUAUGACGAAGAACCCCGAUUGCGAAGGCAGCUUGCUGCAGCGGAACUGACGCUGAUGCUCGAAAGCGCGGGUAUCGAACAGGAUUAGAUACCCCAGUAGUC
rnacentral:rRNA from 1 species